AACCGGAUUAGAUACCCUGGUAGUCCACGCCGUAAACGAUGAGUGCUAGAUGUAAGGGGUAUCGACCCCCCUUGUGUCGCAGCUAACGCAAUAAGCACUCCGCCUGGGGAGUACGGCCGCAAGGUUGAAACUCAAAGGAAUUGACGGGGGCCCGCACAAGCGGUGGAGCAUGUGCAUUAAUUCGUCACUAACCGAAGAACCUUACCAGGGUUUGACAUCUCCGGACAGUCCGUGAAAGCGGAUCUUCCUCGCAAGAGGACUGGAAGACAGGUGUUGCAUGGUUGUCGUCAGCUCGUGUCGUGAGAUGUUGGGUUGAGUCCCGCAACGAGCGCAACCCUCACCCAAUGUUGCCAGCGUAAAGUCGGGAACUCUUUGGGAACUGCCCAUGUAAGUGGGAGGAAGGUGGGGAUGACGUCAAAUCGGCAUGGCCCUUACACCCUGGGCUUGACACAUGCUACAAUGGCCGUUAAACAGAGCGACGCGAUACCGCGAGGUGGAGCCAAUCGCAAAAAUACGGUCUCAGUUCAGAUUGCAGGCUGCAACUCGCCUGCAUGAAGUCGGAAUCGCUAGUAACCGCAGGUCAGCUAAACUGCGGUGAAUACGUUCCCGGGCCUUGUACACACUGCCCGUCAAGUCACCUGAGUUGUCUGCACCCGAAGCCGAUGGCCUAACCGCAAGGAGGGAGUCGUCUAAGGUGUGGGGAGCGAGGGGGACUAAGUCGUAACAAGGUAACCGUA
rnacentral:rRNA from 1 species